rnacentral:tRNA from 1 species
GGUCCCGUAGCUCAGAUGGAUAGAGCAGCAGCCUUCUAAGCUGUUGGUCGCUGGUUCGAGUCCAGCCGGGAUCGCCA